UACAGAGGUCUCAAGCGUUGUUCGGAUUCAUUGGGCGUAAAGGGUGCGUAGGCGGCGCGGUAAGUCGGGUGUGAAAUCUCGGGGCUUAACUCCGAAACUGCAUUCGAUACUGCCGUGCUUGAGGACUGGAGAGGAGACUGGAAUUUACGGUGUAGCGGUGAAAUGCGUAGAUAUCUGGAGGAACACCGGUGGCGAAGGCGACAUCCUGGACCGGUAUUGACGCUGAGUGAGCGAAAGCCAGGGGAGCAAACGGG
rnacentral:rRNA from 1 species